rnacentral:misc_RNA from 1 species
AACGGGUGAGUAACACGUAAGCAACCUACCCUAAAGACGAGGAUAACCAUUGGAAACAGUGGCUAAGACUGGAUAGGAAGAAAUAAGGCAUCUUUUUUCUUUUAAAAGACCUAGUGAUAGGUAUACUUUAGGAGGGGCUUGCGCCAUAUUAGUUAGUUGGUAGGGUAAUGGCCUACCAAGACGAUGAUGUGUAGCUGGACUGAGAGGUUGAACAGCCACAUUGGGACUGAGACACGGCCCAAACUCCUACGGGAGGCAGCAGUAGGGAAUUUUCGGCAAUGGAGGAAACUCUGACCGAGCAACGCCGCGUGAACGACGAAGUACUUUGGUAUGUAAAGUUCUUUUAUCAAAGGAAGAAAAGCAAGUGGUGAACCAUUUGUUUGCCGGUACUUGAGAAUAAGCCCCGGCUAAUUAUGUGCCAGCAGCCGCGGUAAGACAUAAGGGGCAAGUGUUAUCCGGAAUUAUUGGGCGUAAAGGGUGCGUAGGCGGUCUAGUAAGUCAGUGGUGUAAUGGCAACGCUCAACGUUGUCCGGCUAUUGAAACUGCUAAACUUUGAGUUAGAUAGAGGCGAGUGGAAUUCCAUGUGUAGCGGUAAAAUGCGUAAAUAUAUGGAGGAACACCAGAGGCGUAGGCGGCUCGCUGGGUCUUAACUGACGCUGAGGCACGAAAGCGUGGGGAGCAAACAGGAUUAGAUACCCUGGUAGUCCACGCCGUAAACGAUGAGUACUAAGUGUCGGGUUAAACCGGUACUGAAGUUAACACAUUAAGUACUCCGCCUGAGUAGUACGUACGCAAGUAUGAAACUUAAAGGAAUUGACGGGACUCCGCACAAGCGGUGGAUCAUGUUGUUUAAUUCGAAGAUACCCGAAAAACCUUACCAGGUCUUGACAUGUUUUUGCGAAACGGUAGUAAUAUCGUGGAGGUUAUCAGAAACACAGGUGGUGCAUGGUUGUCGUCAGCUCGUGUCGUGAGAUGUUAGGUUAAGUCCUAAAACGAGCGAAACCCUUAUCGUUAGUUGCCAGCACGUUAUGGUGGGGACUUUAACGAGACUGCCAGUGAUAAAUUGGAGGAAGGUGAGGAUCACGUCAAAUCAGCAUGCCCCUUAUGACCUGGGCUACAAACGUGAUACAAUGGCUGUUACAAAGGGUAGCUGAAACGCAAGUUCUUGGCCAAUCCCCAAAAACAGUCUCAGUCCGGAUUGAAGUCUGCAACUCGACUUCAUGAAGUUGGAAUCGCUAGUAAUCGCGAAUCAGCAUGUCGCGGUGAAUACGUUCUCGGGGUUUGUACACACCGCCCGUCAAACCACGAAAGUUGGCAAUACCCCAAAACGGUAGCCUAACUCGUUUAUCGAGAGGGCGCUGUCUAAGGUAGGGUCGAUGAUUGGGGUUAAGUCGUAACAAGGUAUCCCUACCGGAAGGUGGGGAUGGAUCACCUCCUUUCUAAGGAAACCAAUAAAAUCAAUCAUCUUCAGUUUUGAAAGACUUAGGAUAACUAAGUUUUUCUUCGUGACUUCACGAAGGGCCUAUAGCUCAGUUGGUUAGAGCACACGCCUGAUAAGCGUGAGGUCGGUGGUUCAAGUCCAUUUAGGCCCACCAGAGUUAUAGGUGUCGUAAGAACACAAAUUCUUUGAAAAUUAUGAUUUAGCCUUAUUUAACAAAUCAUUGAUUUCAGAAGCUUUAACCAUUUUGUUGUUUACAAAAUUUACUACGUCUGCAUCAUUCCAUUCUUUAGGAGCAGCACUUUCUUCAUUAACAAAUUUUAAUGCAUCAUCAGCUUUUGUUUUUAAAUCAUUUGCUGAUUGCAUUGUUGCGCUAGAGAUUUUUUUAUCUUUAUCAUCUGCUUUGUUAUUUUCUGCAAAUGCAUCUAUUAUUUUUUUUAGACCAUCAACUGCUUUUUGGCCUUCUUUUUUAGCAUCGUCUGAAGAAAGAUCAGCUACUCUUUGUUUUCCACUUAAGUCUUUAAGAUCUACUUUUAAAUUUUCUAUAUCUUUAUUUGUUAAUGUUGUUAUGUUAAAAGGUUUCCAAUGUAAUAAUUUAGCUGCUAUUAGAUAAACAACUAUAGCUAUACCUAAAGAUGCUAACACACCAACUGUAAUUUUGCCGUUUUUAGUUUGUAAAAAAUUUCCUUUAAUUAUUUCUAAUAAUACACGACCUGGUAUUAAAUUUUAUAGAGAUGCUGAUCGUUUCGCUAAAUCCUUAAAAUCUGAACAUUAUUUAAUCGAUUUAGAAUCCAAAACUAUUGAAUUGACUGAAGAAGGUAUUCGUAAAGCAGAAUUAUUUUUUAAAAUUAAUAAUUUAUAUAGUAAUAAAAAUUCUUUUUUAUUACAUUUCAUAAAAAACGCUUUAAAAGCUUGUUUUAUUAUGGAAAAAGACAAAGAUUAUUUAGUACAAAAUGAUAACAUUGUAAUUAUUGAUCCAUUUACAGGUCGCGCUUUGAUUGGUCGACAAUUUAGUGAUGGUUUGCAUCAAGCUUUAGAAGCGAAAGAAAAUUGUCUUAUUAAAGCAGAAACUGAAACAUCUGCUAUGAUUACAUAUCAAAAUUUAUUUCGAAAUUAUAAAUUGAUAUCCGGGAUGACAG